GAACGCACCUUGCACCCUUUGGCAUUCCGAAGGGUAUGCUCGUUUGAGUGUCAUUGUACUCUCACACUCCCAAUGCUUUUGGAUUGGGAGCGGUGGACUUGGGUGUUGCUGCUUUACGGUGGCUCGCCUCAAAUGGAGUAGUGCAACUCUCGGUUGGACAUAGUACGGCGUGAUAAGUGUCUUCGCCGGCGCCUCACUAGAGGGUGGCUGAUCGGGAGCUCUGUGCUUCAAACCGUCUUCGGACAAUCUUUGACAACUUGACCUCAAAUCGAGUAGGACUACCCGCUGAACUUA
rnacentral:misc_RNA from 1 species